rnacentral:rRNA from 1 species
UACGAAGGGGGCUAGCGUUGCUCGGAAUGACUGGGCGUAAAGGGCGCGUAGGCGGACGGCUUUGUCGGGCGUGAAAUUCCAGGGCUUAACCUUGGGGCUGCGUUCGAGACGGGUCGUCUAGAGUUUGGAAGAGGGUCGUGGAAUUCCCAGUGUAGAGGUGAAAUUCGUAGAUAUUGGGAAGAACACCGGUGGCGAAGGCGGCGACCUGGUCCUUGACUGACGCUGAGGCGCGAAAGCGUGGGGAGCAAACAGG